UGGGGGAUAUUGCACAAUGGGCGAAAGCCUGAUGCAGCGACGCCGCGUGGGGGAUGAAGGCUUUCGGGUUGUAAACCUCUUUCGCUAUCGAACAAGGCCCGCUUAGGGUGGGUUGAGGGUAGGUGGAGAAGAAGCGCCGGCUAACUACGUGCCAGCAGCCGCGGUAAUACGUAGGGCGCGAGCGUUGUCCGGAAUUAUUGGGCGUAAAGGGCUUGUAGGCGGCUUGUUGCGCCUGCUGUGAAAACGCGGGGCUUAACUUCGCGCGUGCAGUGGGUACGGGCAGGCUUGAGUGUGGUAGGGGUGACUGGAAUUCCAGGUGUAGCGGUGGAAUGCGCAGAUAUCUGGAGGAACACCGAUGGCGAAGGCAGGUCACUGGGCCAUCACUGACGCUGAGGAGCGAAAGCAUGGGUAGCGAACAGG
rnacentral:rRNA from 1 species